GACGAACGCUGGCGGCGUGCUUAACACAUGCAAGUCGAACGGAAAGGCCCUGCUUUUGUGGGGUGCUCGAGUGGCGAACGGGUGAGUAACACGUGAGUAACCUGCCCUUGACUUUGGGAUAACUUCAGGAAACUUGGGCUAAUCCCGGAUAGGAUCUCCUGCUGCUUGGUGGGGGUUGGAAAGUUUCGGCGGUUGGGGAUGGACUCGCGGCUUAUCAGAUUGUUGGUUGGGUAGUGGCUUACCAAGGCUUUGACGGGUAGCCGGCCUGGGAGGGUGGGCGGCCAAGCUGCAACUGGAAUGCGACACAGACUAGAACGGGAGGCGACGGUGGAGAAGAGAGUACUAGGGGAGGGAGCCUAGUGCAGCAACGCCACGUGGGGGGUGACGUCCAGCGGUUUGUGAUGCACUGCCGCCUUUGACGGGGCGUGAAUGACGGUAAUGGGUAAAGAAGCACCGGCUAACUACGUG
rnacentral:rRNA from 1 species